UGGACUACUGGGGUUUCUAAUCCUGUUUGCUCCCCACGCUUUCGAGCCUGAACGUCAGUUACUGUCCAGUAAGCCGCCUUCGCCACUGGUGUUCUUCCUAAUAUCUACGCAUUUCACCGCUACACUAGGAAUUCCGCUUACCUCUCCAGCACUCUAGCCAUACAGUUUCCAAAGCAGUUCCCAGGUUGAGCCCGGGUAUUUCACUUCAGACUUGCAUCGCCGUCUACGCUCCCUUUACACCCAGUAAAUCCGGAUAACGCUUGCCCCCUACGUAUUACCGCGGCUGCUGGCACGUAGUUAGCCGGGGCUUCUUAGUCAGGUACCGUCAUUAUCUUCCUUGAGGACAGAGCUUUACGACCCGAAGGCCUUCAUCGCUCACGCGGCGUUGCUGCAUCAGGCU
rnacentral:misc_RNA from 1 species